rnacentral:rRNA from 1 species
AGGUCACUGGGCCGCAACUGACGCUGAGGAGCGAAAGCAUGGGGAGCGAACAGGAUUAGAUACCCUGGUAGUCCAUGCCGUAAACGUUGGGCACUAGGUGUGGGGUCCAUUCCACGGAUUCCGUGCCGCAGCAAACGCAUUAAGUGCCCCGCCUGGGGAGUACGGCCGCAAGGCUAAAACUCAAAGAAAUUGACGGGGGCCCGCACAAGCGGCGGAGCAUGCGGAUUAAUUCGAUGCAACGCGAAGAACCUUACCAAGGCUUGACAUACACCGGAAACGUGCAGAGAUGUGCGCCCCGCAAGGUCGGUGUACAGGUGGUGCAUGGUUGUCGUCAGCUCGUGUCGUGAGAUGUUGGGUUAAGUCCCGCAACGAGCGCAACCCUCGUCCCAUGUUGCCAGCGGGUUAUGCCGGGGACUCAUGGGAGACUGCCGGGGUCAACUCGGAGGAAGGUGGGGAUGACGUCAAAUCAUCAUGCCCCUUAUGUCUUGGGCUUCACGCAUGCUACAAUGGCCGGUACAAAGGGCUGCGAUACCGCGAGGUGGAGCGAAUCCCAAAAAGCCGUCUCAGUUCGGAUUGGGGUCUGCAACU